rnacentral:tRNA from 1 species
GCCUGGGGGGCUCAGGCGGUUAAGCGUCUGACUUCCGCUCAGGUCAUGAUCUCACGGUUCGUGGGUUCGAGCCCCGCAUCGGGCU